CCUACGGGAGGCUGCAGUAGGGAAUAUUGCUCAAUGGGGGAAACCCUGAAGCAGCAACGCCGCGUGGAGGAUGAAGGUUUUCGGAUUGUAAACCCCUUUUGUUAGAGAAGAUAAUGACGGUAUCUAACGAAUAAGCACCGGCUAACUCCGUGCCAGCAGCCGCGGUAAUACGGAGGGUGCAAGCGUUACUCGGAAUCACUGAGCGUAAAGAGCGCGUAGGCGGGAUAGCAAGUCAGAUGUGAAAUCCUAUGGCUUAACCAUAGAACUGCAUUUGAAACUGUUAUUCUAGAGUAUGGGAGAGGUAGGUGGAAUUCGUGGUGUAGCGGUAAAAUGCGUAGAGAUCAAGAGGAACACUCAUUGCGAAGGCGGCCUGCUAGAACAUAACUGACGCUGAUGCGCGAAAGCGUGGGGAGCAAACAGGAUUAGAUACCCUAGUAGUC
rnacentral:rRNA from 1 species